rnacentral:rRNA from 1 species
CCUACGGGAGGCUGCAGUCGAGAAUCAUUCACAAUGGGGGAAACCCUGAUGGUGCGACGCCGCGUGGGGGAAUGAAGGUCUUCGGAUUGUAAACCCCUGUCAUGUGGGAGCAAAUUAAAAAGAUAGUACCACAAGAGGAAGAGACGGCUAACUCUGUGCCAGCAGCCGCGGUAAUACAGAGGUCUCAAGCGUUGUUCGGAAUCACUGGGCGUAAGGCGUGCGUAGGCUGUUUCGUAAGUCGUGUGUGAAAGGCGCGGGCUCAACCCGCGGACGGAACAUGAUACUGCGAGACUAGAGUAAUGGAGGUGGAACCGGAAUUCUCGGUGUAGCAGUGAAAUGCGUAGAUAUCGAGAGGAACACUCGUGGCGAAGGCGGGUUCCUGGACAUUAACUGACGCUGAGGCACGAAGGCCAGGGGAGCGAAAGGGAUUAGAUACCCCAGUAGUC